rnacentral:lncRNA from 1 species
CUCCUUACUGAUGCGGUUAUCCGGGAGACGAAAGUUAAUGGGCUCCUCCAGAUCUCGGUCCUGCCCAAUCCUGUACCAGAUCAGGGUUAAGCCAGCAGAAUGGGCUGUGCUGUAGUUGUACUUCAAGAAGGUCUCAAAAAGUGGGCAUUUGAUCUUGGCGGGUUCCCCAUCGUAAAUCUGGAUCUGUUUCAUGGUGUCCACACCCCAGUCAUCACAGCGUUCGGAGCCGCUGCCCAGAGGCACCGCGCACAGCCACAGCGUCACCAGCAGCACGGCACCAACCAUCUUCAUCCUGGGCACGCGGAGGGCUCGCACAGCCACGUCCCGCGCGCCGCGCUCUCUCCUUCGUCCUCCUCCGCGGCCC